rnacentral:rRNA from 1 species
UACGAAGGGGGCUAGCGUUGCUCGGAAUCACUGGGCGUAAAGGGUGCGUAGGCGGGUCUUUAAGUCAGGGGGGAAAUCCUGGAGCUCAACUCCAGAACUGCCUUUGAUACUGAAGAUCUUGAGUUCGGGAGAGGUGAGUGGAACUGCGAGUGUAGAGGUGAAAUUCGUAGAUAUUCGGAAGAACACCAGUGGCGAAGGCGGCUCACUGGUCCGGUACUGACGCUGAGGUGCGAAAGCGUGGGGAGCAAACAGG